GUCAAAAUGUUCUUGAUAUUCAGACUAAGUUUUCAUUUUAUCAAAUUUCAGACAUUAUUCAGAAGUUGGAACAACAGAAGAAAGUAAAGGAUAAGAAUCCAGUGUCCCCUAGCCUAUUUGUAAAAAGGGACAUGGUCCCUCAAACUACAAAAGUGGUAUUUGGGGCUCAGUAUCCUGGUCUGUCUCCAUUGUGGUCUGAGGAGAGAGAUCUUCUAUUAAGCAUUUACCAGCAUACCCCUGCUAAAUGCCUUCCCAGCUUGAUAGAACCUGCCAGCUCUUGCAGUCGACUGAUUAUAAGAAACCAGGAUGACCUGCCUAUACAAGGUUAUUCCACUUCCACAGAGAUAACAUGAAGUAAAAUGCAGAACAAUUAAUAAAUCGAUGCAAAAUAAUUCUGCA
rnacentral:lncRNA from 1 species